rnacentral:ncRNA from 1 species
AAACUGAAGAGUUUGAUCAUGGCUCAGAUUGAACGCUGGCGGCAUGCUUAAUACAUGCAAGUCGAACGGUAACAUGCCCUUCGGGGUGAUGACGAGUGGCGGACGGGUGAGUAAUGCAUAGGAAUCUACCCAGUAGACGGGGAACAACUUGGGGAAACUCAAGCUAAUACCGCGUAAGCCUUACGGGGGAUAGCGGGGGACUUUUUAGGAAGCCUCGCGAUAUUGGAUGAGCCUAUGCCGGAUUAGCUAGUUGGUGGGGUAAAAGCUUACCAAGGCUACGAUCCGUAGCUGGUCUGAGAGGACGAUCAGCCACACUGGGACUGAGACACGGCCCAGACUCCUACGGGAGGCAGCAGUAGGGAAUAUUGGACAAUGGGCGAAA